UCAAGAUGGCUGGUAUGGCUUCUACCUGACUGACUGCCUACGUCAAGAGCCAGCCAUGUCCAAACUCCUCCAGGGCAAUUUUGGGAGGGUCUUCAGGUCUGACCACACCAGGAAAGUUGCAAGAAAAGUAACGCUGGCAUCUGGGGUCAUGUCAAGUUAUGCAAUAAUGAAUGAGAACUGGCUGAUUGUUUCCUGGGUGAUGGUUCAGUCUGAGACUCAGAGGUCUUGGAGCCAAUGGAUUGGUGUGCUCCAUUUAAGAUCCCAGACUGCAUCCCUGCUGAACAUCUAAACUGGGAUGCCUGGAAGACUACACCUUCCAUUGUUGCUGGGGCCACCUCUGGACCGCUGGAGAACACCUGUGCCUCACUGGUAUGGUGCAACACUUCAACUUUGUUCAGAUGUUGUCACAAGGAAGCAUGGGACCUCCAGUUAAAAGGGAAACCUUAAAUACUCCACCCAUACCUUUGCAAUCGUCACCAAGGAGUGCCCGCACUGGACCAAUCAAGACUGGAGGACGAGUGUUCGUCUUGGACCACAAACGCUAGACAUCACCAAUGAAGGAGGCUAUUGACAGCCUCCUAGACAAUUACCAUGGACAGAAAGACAUGUAAAAGCUUUUGGAUCAAGACUAUGCUGCUAUGGUCCAUCGGUCUGCCACAGAUCCAAACAGUCUGCUUCACCCCACAACCAAAUA